GUUUUUACGAAUUACUUGCAGUCUGGCGCGUAACUUUAAUUCGGACUAUUUAUUUUAUUAUUCUAAUCGUUUUAAUAUUACGUUGUAUACGAUUGCUGAGAGUUUUUUUGAAUAUUUUUCAUGUUCUUUGCCUGUGGCACGUUCCACUCUUUUGUACUGCCGCGCUCGAGCCCUCCUAGCUGUCUGCUGCUGUCGUACAUACUACAUGACAGGUGUACGCCUCUCUAAAUCUCAAUCAAUUACAUUCAUUUGUGUGAUAAGAAUCCUAAUUUGGUUUUUGUUUAUUCACUGAGCCCUAUUGUUUUUCCUUCGGACGAUGAAAUCAGUUUUGGUUGUUGCGCAAGUCCAAAGACUUGCCUGCCGAGAGCAAUGGUAUUUGUUCCGCUUGUGUAUCCACGAUUGCCACAACACAAUGGAUUAAGCUUUAUUAUAUCAUGGACCAUUGACUAUAGUUGAAUUUAAGUUUGCUCUUUUAACAUAUCAUUUCACGUCCUACACCGCCGACCGUUCACAAAUCACAUUACAACAGAAAUACGAAUUGCCAUAGUCUGCAACUUGACAAACGCAACGAUUAAGAAUUAUACUUCAAAAUGUCUAUGAAUAUGAUACAUAAACGAUUAACCGAAGAAGAAAUAGAACAGUAUACUUCCAGGUCUUAUUGCUGUCAAAAAAAAAAAAAAGUACCUACUG